rnacentral:rRNA from 1 species
CGGGGUGCAGCAGGCGCGAAAACUUUACAAUGCUGGCAACAGCGAUAAGGGGACCUUGAGUGCCAGGAUACAAUCCUGGCUGUCGUGAUGCCUAAAAAGCAUUAUAUAGCAAGGGCCGGGCAAGACCGGUGCCAGCCGCCGCGGUAACACCGGCGGCUCGAGUGGUAACCGCUAUUAUUGGGUCUAAAGGGUCUGUAGCCGGCUUGGUUAGUCUCUUGGGAAAUCCGGCAGCUUAACUGUCGGGCUUUCAGGAGAUACUGCCAGGCUCGAGACCGGGAGAGGUGAGAGGUACUUCAUGGGUAGGGGUGAAAUCUUGUAAUCCUUGAAGGACCACCAGUGGCGAAGGCGUCUCACCAGAACGGAUCUGACGGCAAGGGACGAAAGCUAGGGGCACGAACCGGAUUAGAUACCCGGGUAGUCCUAGCCGUAAACGAUACUCGCUAGGUGUCGGCCACGGUGCGACCGUGGUCGGUGCCGUAGGGAAGCCGUGAAGCGAGCCACCUGGGAAGUACGGCCGCAAGGCUGAAACUUAAAGGAAUUGGCGGGG